GAUGAACGCUAGCGGCAGGCUUAAUACAUGCAAGUUGAGGGGCAGCAUGAUAUACGCGAGUAUAUUGAUGGCGACCGGCGGACGGGUGAGUAAUAGGUAGGAGACCUACCUCAUACAGGGGGAUAGCAUAGAGAAAUCUGUGGUAAUACCCCAUGAGGUUAUAUGAAUAGAGGCAUAUAAUCAAAGCAUAAGCGAUUAUGCGGUAUGAGAGGGGCCUACUGACCAUUAGCUAGUUGGUGAGGUAAGGGCUCACCAAGGCGAAGAUGGUUAGGGGUUUUUGAGAGAGAGACCCCCCACAUUGGAACUGAGAGACGGUCCAGACUCCUACGGGAGGCAGCAGUAGGGAAUAUUGGGCAAUGGGCGAAAGCCUGACCCAGCCAUGCCGCGUGAAGGAAGACGGCCUUAUGGGUUGUAAACUUCUUUACUACGCGAAUAGAGGUUAGUACGAAGAUACGUAAUAGGGAAGUAGUGUAGUAAAAGCACCGGCUAACUCCGUG
rnacentral:rRNA from 1 species